ACCCACUGUUUCCGCCCGGAUCUUGUUCGCAAGGCAACAAUCCAUAUGGAAAGUGGCGGCCAUUUUUAGUAUGGGCAUAAGAAUGGAAACGUAAGUAUGAUUUUACGCUAUAUCGUUUAUACGAGAGUUGAGUCAUCACGAGGGGAUUGGGAACACAAUUUUCAAAGGACAAACGGAAGCGGAUACUUUCCUAAGGUCAUACUAAAGAUGUAUAGCCCAAAGCGGAAAAACUCCCUGCCCGGUUCCAAGAUGAAUGCUUCCUUGUACCACGUGUCUGACGCCGCUUACUCUCGGUUCCACGUCAGGUUUAGCUCCGUCAGCCUCCAUUAGUCACGUUUAAAGGGGCAGUACCCCGAGUUUACUCUGGGACGCCUCUGGAGCUGGGAAGAUGGCUACUGGAUGCAAUGGGGAGGACAGGAGGGGUGAGGAUGUGGAGAAGCGCCUGCUCUUUGUAGAAAACCCGUUGCCAACAUAGUCGGAAACCAAGGUAAAAACACAACUCAGUUCCCGGAAACGCAGCUACAAUUUGGAAGAUAAUGUAUAUUUUAAAAGAGACCCAUCCCACUCCAUGUUUUCCCGUGUCCUUGAUCCAGGUACUUUUCAAUCAUCAUCCCACCCAUCUUCCGCCCCCGCAGUAGCAGUUAGUUGCCGGGCAACUCAGCGGGGGCACUUCACAACGGAUGGGGCUGGGAGUGCCUUCAGGUAUUGAAUUUAACCCUGUACUUGACUCUCCUUGGUCCUGGAUCAUUGCACUGUGCCAAGUAGCCAGACCGAGGGGAUUAGGCUGAGGCAUUGGGAAGAGCUAAGGAAGUUGGAGAACCAGACUCGCAAGUGGCUUCCUGUAAGCCUGAGGAAUUCCCAUUCAGGUUUCUUCCUCCAGAUUACAGAUGCCUUUUGUUUGUGCUCCUGUUUCUUGCAAAUAACAGUUCACCAGCAUCUUCAUUCUCUUUCAAGCACCUACAGGCUCUUAGGUGGCAAGUGAUUUCCAUUCCUCAGAGCGGAAAUCAUCACCAGGUAGUUGGAGAGGACUCAAGUAUGCUGACACUUUGUCUAUUCUCUUGUUUUGGGAAGGGGGAGGGGGAUUAGGUUGGUUGGUUGGUUUGUUUAUAAUGGAAGUACUGGAGAUUGUUUUGAGAAGUGGGAGGUAAUUGAGUUUGUUUGUUUGUUUGUUUGUUUGUUUAUUUAUUUAUAAUGGAAGUACUGGGGAUUGAACCCAGGACCUUGUACAUGAUAAACAUGCACUCUACCACUGAGCUAUACCCUCCCCCAGUCUACUCUUUUGAGUAUGCGCCAGGAGUCAGGGUUGGGUUGACUCUUUUUAGGCCAAAGAUAGCCCCUCCUGUCUCAAAACCAGCUGUGAAUGUCCUUUCUACUCAAAGGCCGCUCUAAUUAACAACACAAAACCAUAUAUGUAUAAAAUAUUUUAUAUAUAUAUAAAGUAAUCCCAAUAAUUACCUGAUAAUAGUAUUCCACCAAAUUUCCAGUACUUAUCCCACUAGUAUUGUUUUUCUGUGAAUUUGUGGAUGUGCAUGAGUGCGCAAAUGUGCCUCUUUGACUGGAAAUUCCCUAAAGGCAAGUGUUUUCUGUUGCACAGGGUGUCCCCAUGGUGCUAAGGACACACAGAUAUCUGUAUACAAGGCAUCAUCACACAUAAUGAGUCUGGAUCUGAAAGAGGUACAGAGGGCAAUAGGAGAGCAUGGAGGGAGCAAUUAGUUGUGACCAGGGGAAGAGAAGUCCUUGAGGAAGAGUAGUAUCUCCAAAGAUUUCAGUAGGUGGCAAGGAUGGAAGGGCCUUCUGAACAGGGAAAGUAAGACUCCAGGAGCAGGUGUAAAGAAGGAGCUUGUGGGAGCCCCAGCAGAGGCACAUUCAGUUAUCUUAUGGAUCAGGAGCGGGCUGAAAACUCCCUGGAGGUCUGAGGAACAGUCUGUAUCUAUUUCCUGUUUUAUUAGGAAGCCAAUCCUAAUAAAUCUUCCUUCUCUGCCUGGCAUUGAGAACCUUUGUCUCUUUCUUCUCCAGAGUUCAUUAACCCUCCCCAACAAUCCCUGGUGGAUGAGGGUGGGGGACUUGAUCAAAAACAAGACACUGGGGAUUCAUCGUCCACACAUACGUUACUAUCAACAUGGUUACUUGGAUACUUGUUGUGUAAUCUGAAUAUUUUUGUUCCCAUUGUAGUAAAUGCACAGUUGAUUCCCAGACUCACCAGGAGAAACAAACAAACACAUGACCUGGCCACACUUGAAAUUUUGUGCCUGUCCUAGUAUAAGUUCAAAGCAUUUGCCUGAAGGCUGGAGCUGGUCCUAGGGCUUACAGAUCAGGAGUCUUCAUCAUAUUAAAGCACCUUGAUUGAAUACUUGGGAAGAGAGAUGCAUAAGACAGGGUCCCCACUUUCAAGCAGUUUUCUGGUGAGUGGGAAAACAGACAUACAAACAACCAGCUAGACUACAAGGGAGAAUGAAAUAAGUGCUAGAGGUCUAAGUAACAAGCCGAUGGAAGACUGGGAGGACUAACUAAGGAAACUCACAUAAGACUGAAAUUGUGAAGCAGUAUCUGGCAGCAAAGGACCAAGUGCUCAGUGGAGGAGUUGAAAUAAACCCAAGAACUCGGAGAACUGAGAUGAAUACCGAAGAAGGGUUCUUGGGGGAAGAGGGUCUUCAUUGUGAAAUCGCCUGGACAACUUCCCACAUAACCUGCUCCCGAGCCCUAGCUGGUCUGCCCACUGACAGCUUCCUUCUGCAUCCCUGAGUUCUCUCCUCCCUUCAUUUCAUGCCCUCUCCCCUCAAGAUUAAAAAUCCACACUCUUGGAA